CUGGUUUCCCCUAAGUUUCAGCAGAAAAAAAUAGGCAAGAUAAAAAUUGAGAGAUCAUUAUCCACUGAUUCUUCCCAGUCAUAAUAGGCUGCUUAGCUUUACCAGGUCAGAAGGGGCCUAGUAUGACAUAUAUAUAUAUUAAAGAAAGAAACAUAGAUGUACAUGUCAAAGACUGACAAGAAAAAAAAAAAAGGAAAAGAAAAUACAAUUCUUCUGACCUUAAGGUUAUAUACAACAUCAUAGGGCUGGAGAAAUGUCCCUGGACACCGCCUCCCAGAUGUUUCUUCAGACUCACAGCCAAGAAAACACUUGUGAGAGCCACAGGAGAUAUCACAUUAAUCUACUUUUAAUCAGACUCCUUUGUUGCUGAGUCUGUGCUUUUGGUGCGUAGCGUCCACCCCAGGUGUGCAUCUCUGGGGAGCACUGCACAUCCCACGCUGAGGGCUCAGCUGACACGUGCAGAUGUGGAAGCAGAUACUUCUCUGAGACAGCCCUGGGGUGAAUGUGCAGCACUGCUAUAAGGAGGGGUUGGCAGGUGGUACCCACUGCGAUCAGCCUGGUCCUCUUCACAAAGACACCUCUUUCCCAUCAGUGAUGUCCUGCUGUCCCAGUGCCCUGUCCUGAGGUCUGGAUGUGGCAAUGGUCAGUACCUUCUGACGCACCUGAUCAUGUCUAAAACCUGAAAAAAUGGAUAUUCCUUUCCUUCACAGAAAACCUCUCCCUGUUUCAACUUCCCUUGUGAGAGCUCCUUCCCAAAUAGCCAGCAUAGCUCUCCCUGCAAUAACUACACAGCACAGCUCAAGAAGAGAUUAACACAAAUCUGCUGAAAGUGAAUUCAGCCUCUCCUUUCAAUGGGAUCGUUGUAACACUGUUUGUUGCGUUACCUGAGCCAGACCUCAAGUUUCACAUAACAGAGAAAAAAACCACUGUAAUUCUUGGAGGACAGAUGCCAGGGAUCCAUCUGCCCUUUGCCUGUCCUUGUGCUGCCCUCCAUCCUAGAAGAGAUGACACAAGACCCAUGUGUUGAAAGCAAAGCCACAGCAGAGUGACUUUCAGGUGCUGUAUGAAGUUUGAGAGCUGUGAACUGUGCCCUUCCUAAUUCCCACACUAGCAAGAAGCAGCAUGACCUGAAUGUCCCCACGCCUCAGAGAUCAUCAGCCUGGCAUGACCUCUGGGAGCAUGCAAAACUGAAUGGAAUUUAGAGAAACCCAGAGUUUUCUCUAGGAUGUACCUCAGCAUUAACUCAAGGAGUAUGGAGAUAUUAAGAUGAUUUAAGGGAAAGAUGUUUUCUCUGUCCCAUCAGUUAUUCUGGACUCGCAGUUGAGACUCCUGCUGCAGAAUUCCAAAUCAGGGCAGUCGGUCCCAAUGCAGUGAUUUAUAACACAAAGGCAACAUACGUGCUAUUAAUAAAAACACCCUAUUUACAUUUCAUUGAGCUGCUGCAGGACAAUACCUUCACCAAAUACAGCAGGCAUCCUACAUUUCUGAUACCUCCUCUCCAACUAAUAGGAAAAUGUGAGAUAUGGGACAACACUAUUCUGAAGAGGACUAAAUCCUGGAGAAAAUAUUUGUGUUGCAACUAUAAAUGCAGAGAGAAAAGAAACACUCAGCUUUCUUCCAAACUUUAAUCCAGCUCUCCUCUUGGGAGUCCUCUCUACUUAUUCCUACUGGAAGCGAUGUGAGGGCUGCAUAGUGUAGGGAGGUCAAUAAAGAACUCAUUCCUCAUGAAGCUUCUGGUACCACCUAGAAAGAGAACUUUAUCACUGCUUUAGGAAGUCUGACUAAAUGUCCUUCAUAACUACAGCAUGAGAAGAAGCAUCACAAGAGCCUGUGAAAUACAACAAAUAUGGCAGGCUAAAUUAAUAAUCUUGAUGCUAGAAUAUGAAAUGACUUGUUUAAUAAAAUGUUCAAUGUCUGCUCCUUUA
rnacentral:lncRNA from 1 species